AACAAAUAAGUCAUAAUCAUGCAACACUGUUUUUGAGGCGCUCCUCAAAUAAAUUUAAAUAUUUUUUACAAUAUGUUACAACACGGUUACAAUAAAAUUUCCACGUGUGAAAUAAUCUUAAGCUACCUUAUGUAUGCCAAUAUUGCAUGGAGCAGUACUGACAAAGUAAAGCUAGAAUAGUUAUACUUAAAUGAAAAACAUCCUUCAUGGCUAGUGUACAACAAAGACAAACUCAACCUUAUAUGAACAAAUAGAAGUACUAAAUAUCUUUCAAAUACAUAUUUACCAAAAUAUACUUUUCCUGUUUAAA